rnacentral:rRNA from 1 species
UACGGAGGGUGCAAGCGUUAUCCGGAUUCACUGGGUUUAAAGGGUGCGUAGGCGGAAUGGAAAGUCCGUUGUGAAAUCUCCGAGCUUAACUCGGAAAUUGCGGUGGAUACUAUCAUUCUUGAAUACUGUUGAGGUUAGCGGAAUAUGUCAUGUAGCGGUGAAAUGCAUAGAUAUGACAUAGAACACCAAUUGCGAAGGCAGCUGGCUAAACAGAUAUUGACGCUGAGGCACGAAAGCGUGGGGAUCAAACAGG